rnacentral:piRNA from 1 species
UGCUGUUUGAUUCAGCUGGUGUUUGCUACU